GAACGUGACAAAGAUGCAUUCUGUGUGGAGGAAAGAAACCUCAGUUGUUGCCAAAACACUGUGUUCCAGAUGCAAGCUGACAAACUGUCACUGCAGAAGGUCAGGAUGAUACAGGCCACCUUCCAGGAAAUCUGCAGGAAGCAAAGCACUGAGCUGCAAAGGCAAUGCAGAAGAGGCAGUACAGUAAUAGAACACCUCUUAUCUCUUCAAAAUCAUGAAGCCAUCGCCAUCCUGCCUUCUGCUCAACAGGUUGGCUCAGGCACUCAUCUUUGGCUCUGCAUGUGAAAGUACAAGUCAGAAAGCCAAUAUGAGCUGGAGAAUCAAAAAAGGACUGCCCUUGCAGGUACACUUUUGUAAUCCCAGUACAACCUGAGCCUGCCAAAUAGUACAGCCUUUAGUGCAGACAUUCAUUUGGAUCCAGGUAGGAUGCCUCAAGCAUUUUAGGCAUGGGAUCUAUGGCAAGUAUUUUUCUAACUGAAGCAUGCUCUAAUGCUUCAGUGAUAAUACCAAGAACAUGGGAAGGAGAGAAACUGGACUGACAGCUGCAAAUCUUCUUCUAAAAGAGAAGAUGGUCUUAAUGAUAGUAAAAGCCUGGGAGCAGAUUCCAGACUUCAAGGCAUCUGAUUGGAAACUUUUUUAAACCAAGAAUAUCUCUAACUGCAUACUCAUCAGAACAAGCAGGAGAGCUCCAGCAACCACAGUGAAAAUAGCAAAAUGAAGAAACAAACAAGAAGAGGGUGGAAAAAGCAGGAUAUCUGUAAACAAAGAAGAAUGGAAAAGUGUCCUGAGUUUAAAAAAACAAAAGGAGAGAGGUAAGGGAAGUAGAAGGGAAGCAUGAGUUAGACAAAUUGAAGAAACAAAAGACAGAAAGCCGACAAAAAUAGAAAAAUCAACACGACAAAACCCCAGAAUCAGAAAAACAAAGUGAGGAGGAAGAAGUAGGGGGAGGAAGACAGAAGACCUGAAGCACUGAAGAUUAGAAAAAUGAAAGAAGGCAGAAAUCCAGUGUUAAA